rnacentral:rRNA from 1 species
AUUGAACGCUGGCGGCAUGCCUUACACAUGCAAGUCGAACGGUAACAGGUCUUCGGAUGCUGACGAGUGGCGAACGGGUGAGUAAUACAUCGGAACGUGCCCGAUCGUGGGGGAUAACGGAGCGAAAGCUUUGCUAAUACCGCAUACGAUCUACGGAUGAAAGCAGGGGACCGCAAGGCCUUGCGCGGACGGAGCGGCCGAUGGCAGAUUAGGUAGUUGGGGGGAUAAAAGCUUACCAAGCCGACGAUCUGUAGCUGGUCUGAGAGGACGACCAGCAAAACGGGGACUGAGACACGGCCCAGACUCCUGCGGGGAGCAGCAGUGGGGAAUUUUGGACAAGGGGCGCAAGCCUGAUCCAGCCAUGCCGCGUGCAGGAUGAAGGCCUUCGGGUUGUAAACUGCUUUUGUACGGAACGAAACGGCUCCUUCUAAUAAAGGGGGCUAAUGACGGUACCGUAAGAAUAAGCACCGGCUAACUACGUGCCAGCAGCCGCGGUAAUAC